rnacentral:rRNA from 1 species
GACCCAGACUCCUACGGGAGGCAGCAGUGGGGGAUAUUGCACAAUGGGGGGAACCCUGAUGCAGCGACGCCGCGUGGGUGAAGGAGCGUUUCGGCGCGUAAAGCCCUGUCAGCAGGGAAGAAAAUGACGGUACCUGAAGAAGAAGCCCCGACUAACUACGUGCCAGCAGCCGCGGUAAUACGUAGGGGGCAAGCGUUAUCCGGAUUUACUGGGUGUAAAGGGGGCGCAGACGGCGAUGCAAGCCAGGAGUGAAAGCCCGGGGCCCAACCCCGGGACUGCUCUUGGAACUGCGUGGCUGGAGUGCAGGAGGGGCAGGCGGAAUUCCUGGUGUAGCGGUGAAAUGCGUAGAUAUCAGGAGGAACACCGGUGGCGAAGGCGGCCUGCUGGACUGCAACUGACGUUGAGGCCCGAGAGCGUGGGGAGCAAACAGGAUUAGAUACCCGUGUAU